AUUGAACGCUGGCGGCAUGCUUUACACAUGCAAGUCGAACGGUAACAGGCCUUCGGGUGCUGACGAGUGGCGAACGGGUGAGUAAUGCAUCGGAACGUGCCCAGAGGUGGGGGAUAACGCAGCGAAAGCUGUGCUAAUACCGCAUGUGAUCUGAGGAUGAAAGCGGGGGACCAGGCAGCAAUGUUUGGCCUCGCGCCUUUGGAGCGGCCGAUGUCAGAUUAGGUAGUUGGUGGGGUAAAGGCCUACCAAGCCGACGAUCUGUAGCUGGUCUGAGAGGACGACCAGCCACACUGGGACUGAGACACGGCCCAGACUCCUACGGGAGGCAGCAGUGGGGAAUUUUGGACAAUGGGCGCAAGCCUGAUCCAGCAAUGCCGCGUGCGGGAAGAAGGCCUUCGGGUUGUAAACCGCUUUUGUACGGAACGAAAAGGCUCUGGCUAAUACCUGGGGCUGAUGACGGUACGGUAAGAAUAAGCACCGGCUAACUACGUG
rnacentral:rRNA from 1 species